rnacentral:misc_RNA from 1 species
GAUGAAGAACGUAGCGAAAUGCGAUACGUAAUGUGAAUUGCAGAAUUCAGUGAAUCAUCGAGUCUUUGAACGCACAUUGCGCCCCCUGGUAUUCCGGGGGGCAUGCCUGUUUGAGUAUCAUGAACACCUCAACUCUUUAUGGUUUUCCAUGAUGAGCUUGGACUCUGGGGGUUUUGCUGGCUCACAGUCGGCUCCUCUAAAAUGAAUCAGCUUACCAGUGUUUGGUGGGUAUCAUGGGUGUGAUAACUAUCUACGCUUGUGGUUUUUCCACCAGGUAACCUUCAGCAGUGGAGGUUCGCUGGAGCUCAUAGAUGUCUCUCCUCAGUGAGGACAGCCCUUUGAAUGUUUGAUCUCAAAUCAGGUAGGACUACCCGCUGAACUUAAGCAUAUCAAUAAGCGGAGGA